rnacentral:rRNA from 1 species
ACGGAAGGCAGCAGUGGGGAAUAUUGCACAAUGGGGGAAACCCUGAUGCAGCGACGCCGCGUGAGUGAAGAAGUAUUUCGGUAUGUAAAGCUCUAUCAGCAGGAAAGAAAAUGACGGUACCUGACUAAGAAGCCCCGGCUAACUACGUGCCGGCAGCCGCGGUAAUACGUAGGGGGCAAGCGUUAUCCGGAUUUACUGGGUGUAAAGGGAGCGUAGACGGCUUGGCAAGUCUGAAGUGAAAGCCCGGGGCUCAACCCCGGAACUGCUUUGGAAACUGUUGAGCUGGAGUGCAGGAGAGGUAAGCGGAAUUCCUAGUGUAGCGGUGAAAUGCGUAGAUAUUAGGAGGAACACCAGCGGCGAAGGCGGCUUACUGGACUGUAACUGACGUUGAGGCUCGAAGGCGUGGGGAGCAAACAGGAUUAGAUACCCUGGUA